AUCCGCCAGGUGGCGCGAGUGUCUUCGUGACGAAAAAUAUUUGCCAUUUGUUUUCCGCCUUUCCGGAGAAGCUGACAUGAAAGUGUUGUCUUCCAACUUGAUUGGUGUCGAUCUACAUUUUUAGCCAUUAAAUGUAAUUGGCAAUCUGGCAUAUAAUUUCACUUGGCCAAAUGUGAUGACGUGGGUCGAAAAUCGAAAUGUCGGACAUUUUUAGCUGUAGGCCUACGUCUCAUACUCUCAUCUCGUGCAGAAACACUUAGGAGCUAUUUAUUUUCAGCUCGGAAAUGGAGAUCCCUUUGCUCAACUGUUGAAGAAAUUUAGAACACGACAAAGUCUGAGCUUCAUGGCUGUAGUAUCAUUAAUGUGGUUUUAUUGCAGCCAGCUGGUGAAAGGUAUGAUUGAGUCAUGGUUGAGUUGCAGCAUCUGCAUGCAGUUUAUCGAGCUGGUGCUAUCCCAAGUGUAACUGCACAAAAACUUCUUGAAUUGCCAGGCGAAGUCUGCGCUUCUUUGUUGCAGUCUAAUGUGCGCAUGGAUUCGUUGCAGUCAUCCAGUGAAAGGUGUGAUUAAAUUGAGCUGUUGCAUGCAGUCUUUGGUGCUGAUGUUGUCCUGGAGUGUGGGAGAGUCCCAUGCUUCAAGUCUUCUGGGAUCAGCCAUAUCUGAGUUGAUGCUGGAUCAUGCUGCAUUUGGUUGCUGAAAUGUUGGAAAUCUAGUAGAACUGCAAGAAGACUCCUUGAAAUGGUUUACGUUUACGUAGCAGUGAUGUUGCUGUCCAAUAUGGCAUGUUGUUGCAGCCUAUACUGGUGAAAGAUUUUUUGCAUCGAGUUAUGCUGUCGCUGUUCCUUGGUGCCGGACUGCUGGUGUUGUGCAUAAAAGUUACAUCCAGUUUUAAUUGUUAUUUGUGUCUAUGCAGUUAACCGUUUAUGUGUUGAAAAGGGACAGAAAAGUUCCAUAGUGUUGAAUCGCUGGUGUUGUGCUACAUAAGUUACAUCCAGUAUUUUGUUUAAUUGCUAUUUGCGUCUAUGAAGUUAACCGUUUAUAUGUUGAGAAUGAAAAAAAUUGUAAUACGGGGAAUCUUUACGUUGAACAAAUAAUAAACAUGCCUUCGCGAUUGGGAAACCAGCGAGGAGGAGAUUGGAGGGAGGGGUAAUUGAUUUUCAUUAAUUAGAAAAAGUCGUGGUUUGUUUUAAUAAAGUAGAAAUAAAAUCCUUUGUCUAUCACAUCCAUAUUCCUAUCUACAUAACCACAUCUAUUCCUGAAACCCCAUAACUUCCACCAACAUCCAUUCCUUAAACCCAUAACUUCCACCAUCUUCUAUUCCUUAAACCCCCAUUUCCCCACAAAUAUCUGAAAUUUAUAAAUAUUAUUGUUGAAUAAAAAACCAUCUAUUGAAUAUG
rnacentral:lncRNA from 1 species